UCUUCCGCAAUGGACGAAAGUCUGACGCAGCGACGCCGCGUGGGCGAUGAAGGUCUUCGGAUCGUAAAGCCCUGUCCUCGGGGAAGAAGGAUACCUUUUAGGUGUCUUGACGGUACCCGUGGAGGAAGCCCCGGCUAACUACGUGCCAGCAGCCGCGGUAAUACGUAGGGGGCAAGCGUUGUCCGGAAUUAUUGGGCGUAAAGGGCACGCAGGCGGUUAUUUAAGUCUGAUGUGAAAUCUUGUGGCUUAACCACAAGCGGUCAUUGGAAACUGGAUAACUUGAGUACAGAAGAGGAGAGUGGAAUUCCACGUGUAGCGGUGAAAUGCGUAGAGAUGUGGAGGAACACCAGUGGCGAAGGCGGCUCUCUGGUCUGUAACUGACGCUGAGGUGCGAAAGCGUGGGUAGCGAACA
rnacentral:rRNA from 1 species